AUUGAACGCUGGCGGCAUGCCUUACACAUGCAAGUCGAACGGUAACAGGUCUUCGGAUGCUGACGAGUGGCGAACGGGUGAGUAAUACAUCGGAACGUGCCUAGUAGUGGGGGAUAACUACUCGAAAGAGUGGCUAAUACCGCAUGAGAUCUACGGAUGAAAGCAGGGGAUAGCAAGACCUUGUGCUACCAGAGCGGCCGAUGGCAGAUUAGGUAGUUGGUGGGAUAAAAGCUUACCAAGCCGACGAUCUGUAGCUGGUCUGAGAGGACGAUCAGCCACACUGGGACUGAGACACGGCCCAGACUCCUACGGGAGGCAGCAGUGGGGAAUUUUGGACAAUGGGCGAAAGCCUGAUCCAGCAAUGCCGCGUGCAGGAUGAAGGCCUUCGGGUUGUAAACUGCUUUUGUACGGAACGAAAAGCCCCGGGUUAAUACCCUGGGGUCAUGACGGUACCGUAAGAAUAAGCACCGGCUAACUACGUGCCAGCCGCCGCGGUAA
rnacentral:rRNA from 1 species